GACAGAGGUGCCAAGCGUUAGGCGGAAUCACUGGGCUUAAAGCGUGUGUAGGCGGAAUGGUAAGUACCUUGUGAAAUCCCACGGCUCAACCGUGGAACUGCUUGGUAUACUGCUUUUCUUGAGCCACUUAGGGGCUGUCGGAACAAACGGUGGAGCGGUGAAAUGCGUAGAUAUCGUUUGAAACGCCAAAGGUGAAAACAGACAGCUGGGAGUGUGCUGACGCUGAGACACGAAAGCCAGGGGAGCGAACGGG
rnacentral:rRNA from 1 species